AUACUUACCUGUCAGGACAGCCAGGUUAGUACCUACCAUGAUCAUGAAGGUAGUUUUCCCAGGGUGAAGUUUAUCCAUUGCACUCUGGAUGUGCUCAUCCUUGCAAUAUGCACAUCCCCAAAUGUGGAAAACUGGAUGACAUGAUUUGUGGUAGUGGGGGACUGAAUUCACACUCUCCCCUG
rnacentral:snRNA from 1 species